UCCUUCGAGAGAAUAAGAGCAGAAUGUCAAUAAGGUUAAGAGUAGUUUUUCCUUUUGUUAAUGUUUUGAUUGUUAAUGCUGACGUCUAUGGUUGAUUAGUUCCGUUUAGCUCUCAUGCAUAAAAAGAUGAUCGUAGAUACUCCAUAAGUAAUUAUACAUGAAUUCUUAUAACUUGAAACGCGAUUAUGGUUUUUAUGUUGCUUCCGGCAGAAAUUGAAGCAGCGACUUAUAUAGACAGCUUGUACUGUUUUGUCGAUGUUUAUAAUAGAAUGGCUGUAUUUCACUUCGCUUUGAUCACGUACCCCCCGGUGGCACAACCUACUGAAGAACAAUGUUUAACCUCGAUACACUCUCGUUUGUUGACGUUAUCUAAGGACUUAAUUAGGCACUAUGGAAUCUCAGCCUGAGGACAAAUUUACUCAUACAUCAACUGUCAAGGUCAGAUUUCAGCAUAUUAUUUUUCUACAAUUCUAUACACACUUCACAAACUUAUAACUAGAUAAUGACAGAACUGAAAUAACUAUGUCUGAGAAAGUUCAAGUGAAGCAGGUGAUGGAGGAAGGAAGGAAGGAACUUGGUGGGGUGGAGAACUGACAAAUUUGAGGGUCCUGGUCCGCACGUUUUUCGUUUCCAAGAAGGAGGUCUUCAUUUACAGUAAAUUUAUAAGAACCAAUGAGAGAAUUAUGAAGCUGUCUUCGCAUUUGCUUGAAUUUCUUCGUAAGACGGUAGUGCAGAAGUCGUGUUGUCCAAAUUCGAUUCCUUCGCAUCACUUGGUACAACUUCAGCGCUAGUUUGCGAAGUUCCCACGCCGUCAUUAUUGUCAACAGCUUCUUCGUAUGAAGGAGGUACCAUUUCUUCCCAAGACUGAGAUUCCGAUGAUGUUUUGACUUCGAAGUGAUGAAUCGGUCCCAGCUGAUCGUUAGAGCCAGCGCUCAAGGCAGUUCUAUUGGCGUUGUGUUCUGCCGCGAUCACAGCCUCUUCGCAAUUUGUGUUUUCAACGAUCUUGUCUUGGCGUGAACUCCAGACUGCGAUGAAAAGUAGUAACAAUCCACCGACAGCUACAGCCACGGGACCAGCCAGCUUGCAGCUUUUUACCGAAGCAGUGUUACCCAGUAGUAUUAAAACAGAACCAGCUAUGACUAAGAUAAGAGGAGUUAAGCGAAGCAGCCGGCUGAGUUUCUCUUUGCUGAUUAACCUGUGCAUCUCUGGUUGCUCUGUGAUGGCAGGGUUAAAAUGAAGUACAAGUAGAGAGGAGAGGUAGAGAGGAGACUAUUUGUCUUGUUCCUUCGAGAGAAUAAGAACAGAAUGACAAUUAAGUUUAAGGUAGCUUUUCCGUUUAUUGAUGUUUUCAUCAUUAUUAAUAUAUUGUUGACGUCUAUGGUUGAGUUGCUCCAUCUUGUUUUGAUGCAUAAUUAAGAGACGGUCACAUAUAUUGGAUAGGUACAUAAGAUACAUAAACAGUUUAAAGACUUGAAACGUUGUUAUCGUUUUUAGGUUGUUUCCGGCAGAAAUUGAGGAAGAGACUAUAGAUCGACACCUUGACCGUUUUGUUGUUGUCUAGAAAGACUGGGACGCAUAAUUCCUACUUCACCUCAGUUGCUUUGAUCACGUCCCCCGGUGGCACAACGUACUGAAGCACAAAAUUCAAACUCCCCGUUACGCUCUCGUUUGUUGACGUCAAUUAAUUAGGUAGAAUAAUGAAAGAACUGAAAUAACUAUGUCUGAGAAAGUUCAAGUAUAAGAGGUGAUCAUGGGAGGAAGGGAGGAACUUGGUGGAAGUGGCAUGGGGAACUGGCAAAUUUGAUGAGUAGCUUUGAACUCCAGAGAUCGCAGUCCAUAGAAACCUCGAACUCGUCGUCCAAUGGUUAAAUCAAGAAAACAAUGGGAGAAUCAGUCAGACUCGCGAUAGAAUUUUACAAUUGCAUACGCUGAGUGUGCCUACAGGAGCUAUUACAUGGGCCCUAUACUAACGUGCUGAGUCAAUUCACACAAAGUUAAUUCUUCCCUUCUUCUUCACCAUGUUCACCGUUACGCGAGUUCGAUGCUGUAGCGAUUAACUGGGCCAUAAAGGCGCUGGGCGCGAUGUUAAACUGACUGUUUUACUUACCUACUGCAACUGUCUUUGCUCGCUAAAGAUUCAAAUAUUCGAAAUAAAAUCAAAUAGGUAGCAAGCCGUGUUCA